CAAAUGAGUGGAACAGAGUUGUAGGCCAAUUUUUUGUUGAUUGGCAUUUGACCAUUCCUUGCAUAUGAUUCUACCAUGAUGUAGACCAAGGCGUAAACAAAAAUUGUUCUCCCUCCAUCUUUAUAUUCAACUAAAUGACAUUUUCAAUAUAUUCAAUUCAAAUAUUUACAUGUCAUAUGUACAUAUGUAAAUUAAACUAAAUUCUUGAGGAUUACAAUUUCAAGCAUUUCCAUAUUUCUUAGCAAUAUUUUCUUCUAAAUAAACUUUUUCCGUUUUAAAUAUUGAGAAAUAAGUUUUUAAUCGGAAAUGUCCUUGCUCAACAGUUUAUGUGUCCUUGUAAACUUCGUGGCAGAACUAUUAAUCUCUAUUGUCUGGCAGGGAUUUCUCUGUGUCCUUUUUCAACUCAGCAAAUUUUCCAUUGUACUCAUUUUGGCAUUCGCUGUAGCUCGUUCAAUAUUUAUGAUGUUUCAAUCGUCAAAUUUUUCAAUGAAUGAUAAAACAAAAAUGAAACGUUUAAGUACCGAAGCAAAUGAAGUUGGAGCAACUAGUGAAUCAGAGGAAUGAUAAGAGAAGUUAAGCCAUUUUAUCUUAGCUAGAAAAUUAACUCGUCUAAAAAACAAAUCAAUGUCCUUAUAACUACUUAGCGCGAAACAAUAGAUUAUUCAGUCUUUUUGUAUUGAGGACUCAAUAAACGUACAUUGUGGAAUCCAACUUGGAAA
rnacentral:sRNA from 1 species